GGACGGGUGAGUAACACGUGGGCAACCUGCCUGUAAGAUCGGGAUAACGCCGGGAAACCGGGGCUAAUACCGGAUAGUUUUUUCCUCCGCAUGGAGGAAAAAGGAAAGACGGCUUCUGCUGUCACUUACAGAUGGGCCCGCGGCGCAUUAGCUAGUUGGUGGGGUAACGGCUCACCAAGGCAACGAUGCGUAGCCGACCUGAGAGGGUGAUCGGCCACAUUGGGACUGAGACACGGCCCAAACUCCUACGGGAGGCAGCAGUAGGGAAUCUUCCGCAAUGGACGAAAGUCUGACGGAGCAACGCCGCGUGAGUGAAGAAGGCCUUCGGGUCGUAAAACUCUGUUGCCGGGGAAGAACAAGUGCCGUUCGAACAGGGCGGCGCCUUGACGGUACCCGGCCAGAAAGCCACGGCUAACUACGUGCCAGCAGCCGCGGUAAUACGUAGGUGGCAAGCGUUGUCCGGAAUUAUUGGGCGUAAAGCGCGCGCAGGCGGCUUCUUAAGUCUGAGGUGAAAUCUUGCGGCUCAACCGCAAGCCGGUCAUUGGAAACUGGGAGGCUUGAGUGCAGAAGAAGAGAAUGGAAUUCCACGUGUAGCGGUGAAAUGCGUAGAGAUGUGGAAGAACACCAGUGGCGAAGGCGGCUCUCUGGUCUGGAACUGACGCUGAGGCGCGAAAGCGUGGGGAGCAAACAGGAUUAGAUACCCUGGUAGUCCACGCCGUAAACGAUGAGUGCUAAGUGUUAAAAGGGUUUCCGCCCUUUAAUGCUGCAGCUAACGCAUUAAGCACUCCGCCUGGGGAAUACGGCCGGCAAGGCUGAAACUUCCAAGGAAUUGACGGGGGCCCGCACAAGCGGUGGAGCAUGUGGUUUAAUUCGAAGCAACGCGAAGAACCUUACCAGGUCUUGACAUCCUCUGACCUCCCUGGAGACAGGGCCUUCCCCUUCGGGGGACAGAGUGACAGGUGGUGCAUGGUUGUCGUCAGCUCGUGUCGUGAGAUGUUGGGUUAAGUCCCGCAACGAGCGCAACCCUUGACCUUAGUUGCCAGCAUUCAGUUGGGCACUCUAAGGUGACUGCCGGUGACAAACCGGAGGAAGGUGGGGAUGACGUCAAAUCAUCAUGCCCCUUAUGACCUGGGCUACACACGUGCUACAAUGGAUGGUACAAAGGGCUGCGAGACCGCGAGGUUAAGCCAAUCCCAGAAAACCAUUCCCAGUUCGGAUUGCAGGCUGCAACCCGCCUGCAUGAAGCCGGAAUCGCUAGUAAUCGCGGAUCAGCAUGCCGCGGUGAAUACGUUCCCGGGCCUUGUACACACCGCCCGUCACACCACGAGA
rnacentral:rRNA from 2 species